AAUCAACGCUGGCGGCGUGCCUCAGACAUGCAAGUCGAACGGUUAAAGCUCUCUUCGGAGAGUGCAUAGAGUGGCGCACGGGUGAGUAACACGUAAGUAAUCUACCCUCGAGUGGGGAAUAACGUCCGGAAACGGACGCUAAUACCGCAUAAUGCAGCGGCACCGCAAGGUGACAGUUGUUAAAGAUUUAUCGCUUGAGGAGGAGCUUGCGGCAGAUUAGCUAGUUGGUAAGGUAAUGGCUUACCAAGGCUACGAUCUGUAACCGGUCUAAGAGGACGGUCGGUCACACUGACACUGAAUAACGGGUCAGACUCCUACGGGAGGCAGCAGUCGGGAAUUUUGGGCAAUGGGCGAAAGCCUGACCCAGCAACGCCGCGUGAAGGAUGAAGUAUUUCGGUAUGUAAACUUCGAAAGAAUAGGAAGAAUUAAUGACGGUACUAUUUAUAAGGUCCGGCUAACUACGUGCCAGAAGACGCCGUAAGAC
rnacentral:rRNA from 1 species